UGUAUCUACCGUCAACCUCUCCCACGUCCCCACGCCUAAGUCCACCCCCACCUCCACCUCCGCAUCUCCAUCCCAACUUCUGAUCCCCAUUACUCGCAAGUCCAUCUUAACCCUAACGUCAGUACGCCGCCACAAAUCAAGCCAUUGAACUACAUUUUCUCUCUUCCUCUCCUGUUUUCCCUUGCCUCAUGUUGUUGUUACUGCUCGGAAACCACACGAGGCGGCGACUACACAAUGAAUGAUGUGGCGGCGUGUGUGCAAGGAGAAGCGGCGAGGUGGAGCAUGGUGGUCAUGGCGGACCAAGGGCAAUCCAGGUGGUGAGGAUGAAGGUUCCGAUGGGGAUUUGGGACUGGUGCCUGUGGGCAACGAGGGCAGUCGGGCCUAGGCCCAGCAUCCACCGUUGUUGACGUUGCCGCCGGCGUCGAUGAUAGCCAUCUCAUGUCCAUCAUCACAGAGUCUGAUUUUCCAUGCGCACUGUUCUAAGUAUUUAACUUUCCGCACCUACAAAUUUACGAGAAAUAACUGGAUUUUACUUCAGCAUAUUAGAAGAAAUUUGUGCGUGAACUAAUUGUCAUGCACCCGUACCUUGGCUAGGGAAAAAAACUUCAGUUAUAGAGGUGAAGUUCACUCGAUGGACAUGUUAUUUGUGUUUCCUACUCAAUACUUGGAAGUUUUGGCUGGCAAACAAAGGGAGUGGAACUAUAUUUCUAUCUUGGCUUGUUUUGAGACCACUAAAAACUCCUCUUUACCCCGAGCAUGCAGACUCGGGCGUUGGCAUGCUACUGACGUGCUGGAAGAGAUUCCAAGCAACAUGUAGAUGUGAAUUUAAAGAUUCAAAAGAUAAAGGGAGGAUGAUAUGGGUGAAAAAUUGAAUGGAAGGAAGAAAAUGAUGUUUCUGCUUGAUAAUCUUCUUCUGAUACCAACAUCUUUAGUUAUCUCGUAGGAAGAAAGUGAUGUUGUAAACACAAUAUUUAUAUAAGGAGUGAUGUUGUAUUCACGUGGAUGUUGUUCCUCUUGUAAUGCUACGAUUUUAAUCCAAUAUAUAGUAUUUUU